GAAACCCGCCGAUGGCCCACGCAAGUGGGAUCAGGUAAGGGUGAAAGGGUGCGGUAAGAGCGCACCGCGCGGCUGGUAACAGUCCGUGGCACGGUAAACUCCACCCGGAGCAAGGCCAAAUAGGGGUUCAUAAGGUACGGCCCGUACUGAACCCGGGUAGGCUGCUUGAGCCAGUGAGCGAUUGCUGGCCUAGAUGAAUGACUGUCCACGACAGAACCCGGCUUAUCGGUCAGUUUCACUU
rnacentral:RNase_P_RNA from 1 species